UUAUAUUGAAAGCAUCCAUCAACAUCCCUACAACUUAACUAAACUUAACCGAGGAACAUCAUCCAACAGGAACAACAUCCCUACAACUUAACUAAAACUGAAAGUUCCAUCACCAUCAUCAUGAACCGGAGCAUCGGCAUCAUCAUUGCAGUAUACUUGUCACGCACCCAUAUAAAUCCAUAUAUCUUUUGAAUCUACAAAGAAAUUAACAAAAUAAUCUGUUAAUACACAAUGCAUUAACAUGAUGCAAGUAGUGCUGGAGGCAAAGAUAUUAGACAUGUACAAGGUUGAAGCCCAUGUAAUCUUUGUUUUUCCUGCAUUACCAAGAGUACUAAUGUUCCUGAUGCUACAUGUUAUCCAUCGAGAUUCCAAUAUUAUCAAGAAUGAUGAGAGAAAAACAUAGAUAAAAAUCUCGGCGAAAAACUUCAGGCAGAAUGAACAAUUUAUCCUGGCACAAUAAAGGGCUCACCUAAGAUAAACUGAUUUGGUUGAUUGGUACCACAAAACUUGUUUACACGAAGAAAACCUAGAAGAAGUCAGGCCUUCUCUCUUUCAAAGGAAGGAAUUUGCCAACAUGUGUAUUCUAUCAAAAUAGUCAAUCUAAUACGUACUCUCAAUAUGUAGUAUCGUCUUAAUAUGGAAAUGGACUGAUGUAUCUUAACAAGGAUACCAAUAAGAAUUCUUGUACCCAGGAAAUUGUCACCUCAGGGGUAGCACAAUAGCUUGAAAAGGCAAAACACAGAUAAAAGGGUGCAGCUAAAAAGAUCCAAAAG
rnacentral:lncRNA from 1 species